rnacentral:tRNA from 1 species
GAAAUAGGAUACCCAAGAAAAAGCUUCUAACUUAAUUCUUUAGUGGUGAAAUUCCAUUAAUAUUUCU